UCGGAAUGAAAUCUGAAAUGACUGAGUGGCGGACGGGUGAGUAACGCGUGAGUAACCUGCCCUUAGGAAAGGGAUAGCGUCUGGAAACGGACGGUAAUACCAUAUAAAGUAUAUUAACGGCAUCGUAGAUAUACCAAAGCUGAGGCGCCUAAGGAUGGACUCGCGUCUGAUUAGAUAGUUGGUGGGGUAACAGCCUACCAAGUCGACGAUCAGUAGCCGGACUGAGAGGUUGAACGGCCACAUUGGGACUGAGACACGGCCCAGACUCCUACGGGAGGCAGCAGUGGGGAAUAUUGCACAAUGGGCGAAAGCCUGAUGCAGCAACGCCGCGUGAAGGAAGACGGUUUUCGGAUUGUAAACUUCUGUUCUUAGUGAAGAAUAAUGACGGUAACUAAGGAGCAAGCCACGGCUAACUACGUGCCAGCAGCCGCGGUAAUACGUAGGUGGCAAGCGUUGUCCGGAAUUACUGGGUGUAAAGGGAGCGUAGGCGGGAAGCCAAGUCAGCUGUGAAAACUACGGGCUUAACCUGUAGACUGCAGUUGAAACUGGCUUUCUUGAGUGAAGUAGAGGUUGGCGGAAUUCCGAGUGUAGCGGUGAAAUGCGUAGAUAUUCGGAGGAACACCGGUGGCGAAGGCGGCCAACUGGGCUUUAACUGACGCUGAGGCUCGAAAGUGUGGGGAGCAAACAGGAUUAGAUACCCUGGUAGUCCACACUGUAAACGAUGAUAACUAAGUGUGGGGGGUCUGA
rnacentral:rRNA from 1 species